CUAGCCUGGGCCACAAAAGCGAAACUCCGUCUCAAAAAAAAAAGGAAGGACCUUCAUGGGUACCAAAUAUUCACUUGGGCUCAGACACAAAACUCAGUUCUUUCUCCACAAGCACCCCCUCCUUUGAGGGGGCAGCUGCGUCCCUUGACACUAUGGGAUGAGCUCCUUCCUCUGCCACAGUAUUUACUUUCCCGGUGACCUCUGGGGAGGUGGCCUUGCAGUUGGGCACAUCCGGCUUGAAUCCCAGCGGCACCAACUUGGAGCUUCCUGGCUCUGCCACACCUCUCCGAGCUUCGGUUUCCCCAUCUGUGCGGUGGAAUUCAGAGAGGCCCCAGUCUCACUCGCCUGAGGUUCAGGGCUAGUGGCCUUUUCCUGGACCCACAGAUUGCUCUGGGCUUUGCCUAAGGCCGGCUGUAGGCAGCCCUCAGAGGCGCCACCUUGGCCACACUGGCUGGAACCAGCGGGUGGGUGGGAGCGCACAGCAGGGAGGGCCAGGGAGACGACCCAGUGCCCUGUAGAACACAGCUAGCCCUUCCCGUGAGAAUCAAAACGCCCCAUUUUACAGGUAAGGAGGUUCUGGGAGGAGUGGCUUGCCACACCAUGCAGAAGUAAAGCGGGAUAUUCACCCAGAAGGCCAUACCGAUAACACCAAGGACCCUCCUACUCCCUGUUCUGCCGCUAUUUAUUGAGCACAUACUACUUGCCAGGCCCUGAGCCAAGAGCUGUACAAGACUGACCUAUUUCAAUCCAACAGCAUACCUAGGAGGGAGGCCUAUUGAGCUUUCUUUUACGAGAAACAGGGAGGUUGAUGCAUUUGCCCAAGAUCACAUAGCUCCCGAGGAGUGGAGCCUGACUGAAUUCAGGCCACCUGCCUCCAGAGCCUGGGUGCUCGGCCAUCCUUCUCUGCACCUGGCUCAGAGCCCCGGCCCGGUGAUCUUGGGUUAGUCCCCUAAGCCCCAGAGUGGCAAAAGGGAAAGGAAGUAUCUUCAGCACCCAGUGAAGGGGGCUCAGAGAGGGGCCGGCUCUCACUCCAGGGCACACAGCCAGCCGAGCCAGGACCCACCACACUCACUCCCCGGCCCCUGGCUCCCCGUGGGUGGCUCCUCCGUGGCCGGGAAGAACCCCCACGGCCGCUCCUGCAGGCAGAUGGACAGACGAUGGCCCCCUCCCACGGCCUGCGGGCUGUGUGGCACCGCCACCUCCUCCCGAGCAGGCUGCCUUGAAGAAACCAGAAGAUUGAUUUCCUGGCAGGCUCUGCGCCGAGGAGCCCGUCCAAAUGGUUUGCAUGUCUGCAUUUUUUACUGCUCCGUUUAAUAUGUAUGCAAAUGCCGGCCGGCUGCGCCCGCCGCGCGGCUGCACGGUCACACGCGGCGCCCCAUUAAAGCGGCCGUCCCGGGCGCGCGCCUCAUUCGAGGCGACGGGCUCCGGGCCCUGAUAGAUGGGGUGCGGGGACGGAGACAAAUGACGGCCUUUGGCUCCUAACUUCAUCGGCACGGUGUCAUUUGAGUUUCACAUUAGCCCAUGAGAAGCUGGGAAUACCUGACUUUCGGGGAAGGCAGCCCGUCAAGCCCCAGCCUCCUGUUCCCAGCCCUCACUCAACAUGCAGUCGCUCUGGUUUGAACGCCUGUGACAAGUGUGUACCUACGUAUCAGGGUGAGUAUGGGCUGUGUCCACAUGAGUCGGCGUGCACACGUGUGUGUCAGUGCGCCUGUAUGAAUGUUGUCCUUGGCAGGCAGGCAACUGAGUGUGAAUUUCCCUGAGGGUUUCCAUGUUACUGUGGUUCAGGCUGGGCCUUCCCUGCUGUCCCCCGGCCCCCCAGCCAAGGAAAGCCUCUGGAAUGAGGGGACAGGGCAUGGCACUAUGAGGCUCCCACAUGCCAGAGGCACCCCUGAGCUUUGCAUAGAUGGGUAGGACUUGGAUUGUUGGGGGCUGGACUGGAGCCUUGGAAUUCUGGGCCCGAAGUGAGGGUUGAGGACAGCUCUCUAGAGAGCCCUCUGUGUGUGUGUGUGUGUGUGUGUGUGUGUGUGUGUGUGUGAGAGUGUGUGUGAGUGUGUGUGAGAUCUGUGCAUGCUGAGUCACUCGGGGAAGUGGUUCUUCUCAUGUACAUGUCUUCAGCUUCAAGGAAGAUCCUUCUGCUGUCUGGACUUGAACUUCUCUGGGGCAGAACCUGGGCUCUGGGGGCUGCUAUUUGGGAAAUCACCCUCCCUGCUGCCCCCAGGCCAAUGCCCCGAGGACACUUGGACCGCUGAGGCCAACCCCCUGAGGGGUCCUUGAGCCUGGUGGGGGUAGGGUGUGUGUGUGUCUGUGAGCAGGGGUGUGUGUGUGAGUGAGGGUGUGUAUGUAAGUUUAUGUGUGCAUAUGAGAGUGUGUGUGUGGAAGAGAGGGUGAGCGUAAGCAGGGAUGUAUGUAGAUGUGUGUGAGGAUGUGUACAUGUGCGUUGGUGUGUGUGAGUUGUGUAUGUGUGAGGUGUUAUGGGGGUGAGGGUGUGUGCAUGUGAGUUGGUCUGUGUGUGAGUUGUGUAAUGAGGGAGGGUGUGUGCAUGUGAAUUGGUGUGAGGGUGUGUGUGACUUGGUGUGUGUGAGUUGUGUGUGUGAGGUUGUGUUGGGAGUGAGGGUGUGUGCAUGUGAGUUGGUAUGUGUGAGUUGUGUAUGUGUGAGGUUGUGUUAGAUGGGGGUGAGGUUGUGUGCAUGGGUCUGUGUGUGAGUUGUGUAUGUGUGAGGUUGUGUUAGAUGGGGGUGAGGAUGUGUGCUUGGGUCUGUGUGUGAGUUGCGUAUGAGGGAGGGUGUGUGCAUGGGAGGGAGUUGGUGUGCGUGAGGAUGUAUGUGACAGUGGGUGUGUCAGGGUGU